rnacentral:rRNA from 1 species
UACGUAAGGGGCAAGCGUUGUCCGGAUUUACUGGGCGUAAAGAGCGUGUAGGCGGCCACGCAGGUCCGUUGUGAAAACUGGAGGCUCAACCUCCAGCUGUCGACGGAAACCGUAUGGCUAGAGUCCGGAAGAGGAGAGUGGAAUUCCUGGUGUAGCGGUGAAAUUCGUAGAUAUUAGGAAGAACACCGGUGGCGAAGGCGGCCCACUGGUCCGGUACUGACGCUGAGGUGCGAAAGCGUGGGGAGCAAACAGG